GAACAAGAAAUGAAUGCAAACCAUCUUACACCCAAAGCUGGCAUGGAGUAGCACUUGUGGAAAUGAUACUGCCAUAGAUUAAUAAUAAAGUCCCUGGAAAGGAGUUCCCACCCUGGUGCAGUGGGUUAAGAACCCAACUGCAGCAACUCGGGUCACUGUGAAGGCAAGGUGUUCGAUUCCCAAUCCGGGCGCUGUGGGUUGAGGAUCCAUUGUUACUGUGGUAUAGGUUGCAGCUGCAGCUUGGAUUCAAUCCCUGGCCUGGGAACUUCUGCAUGCUGCAGGUGUGGCCAAAACAAACAAACAAACAAACAAACAAACAAACAAACAAAAAACCCAGUGAGUUCCUGUAAUGGCUUUGGGAUAACAAACCAAAUUAUCCAGAAGGGUAUAGGUUUGAUCCCUGGACUCAGUGGGUUAAGGAUUUGGUGUUGCCUUGAGCUGAGGUGUAGGUGGCAUAUUCGGCUCAGAUCUGGUAUUGCUAUGACUGUGGUGUAGGCUGGCAGCUGCAGCUCCAAUUCGACCCCUAGCCUGGGAACUUCCAUAUGCUACAGGGGCAGCCCAAAAAGACAAAAAUAAAAUAAAAUCCCUGGAAAGCACUGAGUUCUGUGCCAGAUAUAGGCUUUUUACUUUUCCUAACUGGCCCAGUACAGAGCAAUUCUCUAAUUACAUUACAAGGUAAAGGGGCCUGGGCAGGGCAUUUCUUUCCAUUUCAAAGGAAAUUCUAGAUAGAUAUUCCUUAGGAGAAAGAAAUAAAUGAGGACAGGACCCUGAACAAAAUUACUACAUUCACACGAUUAUUUUCAUUCUUCUAGAUGAUCAGGUUUUUCUUGACUCAAAGUGUUAAAAGAUGAAUUGAAGCAUUUUUAUAAUCUUUUUGACUUUUUAAAGUUGGUUUUAUUUUUAUUUUUUAAAUGAUUUCAUUUUUUCCACUAUCGUUGGUUUACAGUGUUCUGUCAAUUUUCUACUGUACAGCAAAGUGACCCAGUCACACACGCAUAUAUAUACACACACAUUCUUUUUCUCAUAUUAUCCUCCAUCAUGCUCCAUCACAUGUGAGUAGAUAUAGUUCCCAGUGCUAUAACAGCAGGAUCUCAUUGCUUAGCCAUUCCAAAUGCAAUAGUUUGCAUCUAUUAAUCCCGAUUCCCACUCCAUUCCACUCACUCCCCAGCAUCUUUAUAAAUUUUUAGCAUUUAUUUGAGCAAAAAUUAAUUGGAAUUGUGCAGCACAACACUGGAGAUGGUUAGGCGCUCUCUGCCCCCCAGGGGCCAGGAGAAAGGCUUACAGAGAGAAAGUCUGGAAGGAAAUUAUUUGAUUGUCUACACCUUAAAGCCUGGUUGAGUGUUUGUAAUUGGUUCUGUAAGUUUCUAUUUCAAAUCUAGGCAUUUAUAGCCUUAGAUUUUGGUUGGCUUACGUAGACCACUAUAGCAUUAGAGCACCUCAGUCCAAUGGCCUCCUUGUUUAAUUUAGCAGAGAAAAAUUUUACUUCCAAGGUGUUCCUAUUGGUGUUUUUAAAUUUGAAAGGUACCAGUCUUCAGGAAAGAAUCACUUUUACACUAAUCGUGGUCUAGAUCACCUGUGGAAACUACUAGGUGUGUCUUUGAAGAGGUUUCUUAGUUAAACUGAUCUUUGUUGAAGUUGUUCACAAAUUGGAAAUGCCUCUGCAAGUACUUCAAAGAGCAGUUGUAAUACAUAAAUAAAAUAAUUUAAGUAAAACCAUUUGGCAAAUAAUCUAGGUAAAGGAGAUGCCCCAGAAAUGCUAGUUCCAUUCCAUUUGAUAAUGAACAUGGCAAAAUCUUGGCUAACUAGAAUCUAGCUUCCCAGAAAGCUCCAUUAACUACAUCCUCCAUCUUCAUUUCAUAGAAAAGCUUAUAUAUGGUAUAAAUAUUAGUUUAUAAUGUUCAAGCCCAAUUUUAUACAUUCUAAGCUUAUGUAAUUACCAAAAGAAAGAAAGAAAGAGAAUUCUUGUUGACCAUGGAAUCUUUAGCACUUAGAACUCUCUGGCACAUAGUAGAUGCUCAAUAAAUAUUUGUUAAAUGAAUAAGGACCCAAAACACUUCAAAGAUACUAUUUUUUAGGAGUUCAGAGAUGCCAUAAGUCAGCAAAACAGAAAAACUCAUUUUACAGAGGUUUUCAAUGAAGUGUUGCAAGUAAAACAAUUACUGGAGAUUUCUCUGAGUUUCUCUGAAAUGCUUAAUUUAAUAGGGCAACUCAUCGGUAUUCAAAAAGUCAUCAGUGUUUCUCAUUUAAUUACUUCGUGCAAAACAGAGCAAGAUAUAUAGUCCCUUUUCUCAAGGAACUCAGAGUCUAAUGGGGAGGUAGAGCAUGGGGAGGAACAAUUGAAAUGUCAGGUGUGAUUGAGAGACAGCAACGUGAGAGAAUGAAUGAAUAUGAACCAAAGACGCAGAGGUAAUGCAGUAGAAUUCAUUCUUAAGGAGAGGCAGAGGGUGUUCUUUGAAGGGGAGAUUUUAUUGCAUUUGAGUUGAACCAUAAAAUGGUAACUUUUGACAAGUGAUAGUGACUAAAAUGAUAAAGAAGGAAAAAAGGGGGAGUUCUUGGCUCAGUGGUAGCUAACCCGACUGGUAUCCAUAAGGAUGAGGGUUCUAUCCCUGGCCUCGCUCAAUGCAUUAAGGAUCUGGCGUUGCUGUGAGCUGUGGUGUAAGUCGCAGACAAGGCUUGGAUCCUGAUUGCUGUGGCUGUGGUGUAGGCCCGCAGCUGCAACUCCAAUUAGACCUCUCACCUGGAAACUUCCAUAUGCUGCAGGUGCCCUCUCCCCCCAAAAAAAGACAAGAAGGGAGAGAAAGUUUUCCUAGGGGUUUUGAAGAGCUAGAUCCCAGAGGAGUGUGUGAGAAAAUAGGACAGGUGAUACUUUUUGCUAAGAUUAGUGUAGACUUUACAUUUGAAUGCCCUUCACUUGGGAAAUACAAAGAGUGAAACUCCUUACACUUUGCUUCUUGAGUUGACUCUGCUCUGAGGCUGAACUGAAAGGGACUAGAUUUUAUCAGGGCAAAACAAGAAAGAGGCAAUAAAAAUAGUUCUUAUCUGGGAAUAGUGCCCCCAUAUUUGUAGCCUAAACCAAAGGCUGUUGGUAGAAGAAUUUCUGGCCAGACACAGAUGUCAUCUGACUCCUCUCAAGAGUUUAGAACAUGGCAAACCAAAGCCAGUCUUUGAGAUAAGCUAUUUAACUGCAAAGAAAAGGUUCACUCUAUUUUGGAUGUUAAAUCUUUCUAAAUUAGAUUAUGUAUUUCCUUACUUGAUUAAACAUAGGACUCUAAGAAUAAUUUAGUUGAUCUUAAUGAUGCAGAAUCAUCAUUAUGGACAUUAAUUAUUAUGCCAGAUCACAUAGAUUUUUAAAAAUUAUUAUUUUGCUUUUUAGGGCCACACCUGUGGCAUAUGGAGGUUCCCAGGUUAGGGGUACAGUUGGAGCUACACUGAUGGCCUACACUGCAGCCACAGCAAUGCCAGAUCUGAGCUGCGGCUGCGAUCUACACCCUAGCUCACAGCAACACCAGAUCCGUGACCCACUGAGCAAGGCCAAGGAGCGAAUCCACAUCCUCAUGGCUCCUAAUCCAGUUUGUUAACCGCUGAGCCACUAUAGGAACUCCUAAAAAUUAUUAUUAGUUGUUCUUUUAUUGCCUUUCUGCUCCCAGCUCCUCAUAUAAGCAGUUAGAAAGCUCGUUUCUAAUCUUCCAAUGGUCAUUGUUGGGCUUUUCUCCAAAGGAAAGCAAAGGGUCUUUAUUGUCAUGGUUUGUAUUUCAGAGGCUCUAAUGGAGGUAAAAGUUGUUUCUGUUAUGGGUAAUUAAUAAUGGAAAAAUUAAUUGGUGCUCUUCUCUAAGACGGGCUUUGGCCUUAGCCCUUUCCCUAGUUACUAGCUAGCUUUUUGGCAUCACUUAACUUUCCUCUAAUUUCCACAUUGAAAAAAGAGAGAAGGGAGUCCCAAUUGUGGCUCAGCAGGCUGCAAACAUGGCUAGUAUCCAUGAGGAUGCGGGUUCAGUCCUGGCCUCAUUCAGUGGGUUAAGGAUCUGGUGCCUCCUCAAGCUGUGGCAUAGGUUGCAGACAUGGCUUGGAUCCUGUGUUGCUGUGGAGGUUGUGUACGCCAGCAGCUGUGGAUCUGAUUAGACCCCUAGCCUGGGAACUUCCAUAUGCUGUGGGUCCAGCCCUAAAACGUGGAAAAACAAUUGUUUUGAAAAUGUUUUCUCUAAAGUCCCAGAAUGAUAGAUGCAUUAUGGAUGCAGGAGUUGGACUGUAUUUACAAUUGCUCACUUGCAAGCUUGGCACGUUACUUGGGCAAGUUGUUUAAGGUCUAUGCCUCCUUCUGUUUCUUUUCCAUUUUGGUGGAUAAUAAUAUUGGUCUCACUGUGGAGUGUGGUGCCUGGAACCCAGGGAAGAAUGCUUGUUAGUGCCUCUUCCCUUUCUUCAAUUGCAUUCUUUUCAGCAAAAUCAAGUGCCUAAGAGGUCAUACAAUUCCCCAGGCUAUUUGAAAGUCUUCAAGUGUUAUUAGCCCAAUAGGCCACUGGAUGUCACACUUGAUCUAAGCUACCACAUACACCUUGCCCAGUGCACUUUGGCUUGGACAGUCUUCGGCUUUUAGAGCCGAAGUGGAUGUUAAUGAUCUUUGACUCAGAGUUAGAGCCAGAGUCUGAAAACUGCAGGCCACAGCCAAGUUUGUUUGGAGCACGUUUUCUUUUGUUUCAUUUUAAUGGAAUUUGAAUGCAUUCAGGCAGAGGGUGGAGUGUGUGCCCCUCUAGAGUCCUGCUUGGGCCCUUCACUCAGCAGGAUGCCCACCUGGCACUCAGGACAAUGGAGUGGAGAACGCCUGGUCUCCUUUUAUAGAGGCAACUGACCACCCAGACACCUUACCUGUUUGACCAAGGACACAGGUGAAGUUGGCAGCAAAUCUGGGUCUAGAACUUGGGUCACUUGACUCCCUGCUUGGUCCCUGUCAUUGAGCCAAGUAUGCUAGAGACACAUCAAGAUAAUGGCCCUUUAGGAAAUUUCUACUUUACAGAAACAGAUGCGAAGAACACUUAUCUGGCUCCAACUCUCUCCUAAACUCUGUUCAAUUGCAAGCCUUGAAUAUUUUGACUUCCACAACAGCCCUAGAGUCAGAGUUUUAACUCAUGAAUGUUUUAUCUUGAGAAUUUGCUUGGGGGGUGGUGGUUAUUGAGACUGUGGUCGGACACUGGAACAUGUUUCCCAAAGCACUUAGCAGAGACACAUUAGGCUAACAAUAAAGUCCACAACCUCUAACAGGAAAUCGGGAAGACAAGCCAAGGGUCAUGAUUUAUCCCAGCUCUUAUCAGAAAAAGCAAGCCAAGAGAGCUCACCCUGAGUACUAAUAAGUUAUAAUGUAACCACACACACACACACAAACAUGCACACACGUGGGAGUUUAAAUUUUUGUAACUACCAGAUGGAGGAUAUAAACUAAUAUUGCUCACAUGCUAUUCACCACCUUUGGAAAAACCAGAUCAGAGAGGGUAAUUAUCUCUCAAAUUUAGAUUUCCCUGGUUGUGUUCUCACUGAAACAGCAGAAGAUUACUUCUGGGUUGAUAUCAGCAGGAUUGCAGGCCUGCAGGAGAUACCAAGAUAAGAAUAAAUCAGGUUUCCCUUGAAUAUUUUUUUUACUGUCUCGGGCACUUGUUCUGAGAUCCUUCGCAGUUUGGAGCCGGUGUGGUCCCGUCCUGGGACCGAAAGGGUGAGCAUGCCUAUCUUUUCAGUUGGUAAGGAUCUUGAAGGUUUUUAAGGAAGCUCACUGGCCAAGUCUACUUUGAAAAACCUGGAUGUUAGAGAUCAAAAAUAAUCGCAUAGGAGUUCCCAUUGCAGCUCAGAGGAAACGAAUCUGACUAGCAUCCAUGAGGACACAGGUUCGAUCCCUGGCCUCUCUCAGUGGGUUAAGAAUCUGAUGUUGCCAUGAGCUGUGGUGUAGGUCACAGAUGCAGCUCGGAUUCAGUGUUGCUGUGGCUGUGGUAUAGGCCAGCGGCUAAAGCUCUGAUUCAACCCCUAGCCCGAGAACCUCCAUAUGACGCAGGUGAGGCC
rnacentral:lncRNA from 1 species